AGAACGAACGCUGGCGGCAUGCCUAAUACAUGCAAGUCGAACGAACACUUCGGUGUUAGUGGCGCACGGGUGCGUAACGCGUGGGAAUCUGCCCUUGGGUUCGGAAUAACAGUUGGAAACGACUGCUAAUACCGGAUGAUAUCGAAAGAUCAAAGAUUUAUCGCCCAGAGAUGAGCCCGCGUAGGAUUAGCUAGUUGGUGAGGUAAAGGCUCACCAAGGCGACGAUCCUUAGCUGGUCUGAGAGGGUGAUCAGCCACACUGGGACUGAGACACGGCCCAGACUCCUACGGGAGCAGCAGUAGGGAAUAGUGACAAUGGGCGCAAGCCUGAUCCAGCAA
rnacentral:rRNA from 1 species